rnacentral:rRNA from 1 species
AGAGUUUGAUCCUGGCUCAGGACGAACGCUGGCGGCGUGCUUAACACAUGCAAGUCGAACGGAGAUAUCAGAGUAGUAAUAUGAUGAUAUUUUAGUGGCGGACGGGUGAGUAACACGUGGGUAACCUGCCCUAUGGAGGGGGAUAACAUUCAGAAAUGAGUGCUAAUACCGCAUGAAGUAGCUUUAUCGCAUGAUAGAGU